rnacentral:lncRNA from 1 species
UGUGGGGUCAUGAGAAUACGUACAAUAGUGUUUGAACAUUGAGUACCAAUUUGGUUAUCGGUUGAAAUUAUUUUGAACCCAAAUUAUCGGUAGAUAGAAUUAUCUCUGUACAAAAUAGGUUUGGACUUGUACAUAUCUUUUACAACGUAAAUUCCAUUGUAUACGAUUUCCACUUCCCAUAUCAUCAAUUCCCUAAUCUUAUGUAAAGUAAUGAUGAUUCUUGUAUGAAUCCAUCAAUCAAUCAACCCCUUUUCACAAAAGGAUCUUUAUUCUUCAAUGUUCCAUCAAAGCAAAAAAAAUGUUGAAUUGUGAUGGAUUCAACAUAACACAACACAGAUCUCUUGGAAUUGGAAUUGCUCAAUUUUCAGGUACUGCUCUUAUCUUUUGA